UCCCGGUUGCCCGGGCAGUUCCGCAAGAGUGCCCAACUUAAUGCUGGCAACAUGCGGUGAGGGUUGCGCUCGUUGCGGGACUUAACCCAACAUCUCACGACACGAGCUGACGACAGCCAUGCAACACCUGUCUCCAGGCUCCCCUCGCGGGGCACCCCCGCCUUUCAGCAGGGUUCCUGGGAUGUCAAGCCUGGGUAAGGUUCUACGGUUAGUGACGUAUUAAUCCACAUGCUCCACCGCUUGUGCGGGCCCCCGUCAAUUCCUUUGAGUUUCAACCUUGCGGUCGUACUCCCCAGGCGGGGUACUUCCUGCGUUAGCGCCGGCACCCAGAGGGUCGCUCCCCCAGGCACCUAGUACCCAUCGUUUACGGCGUGGACUAC
rnacentral:misc_RNA from 1 species